GAUGAACGCUGGCGGCGUGCCUAAUACAUGCAAGUCGAGCGAACAGACGAGGAGCUUGCUCCUCUGACGUUAGCGGCGGACGGGUGAGUAACACGUGGAUAACCUACCUAUAAGACUGGGAUAACUUCGGGAAACCGGAGCUAAUACCGGAUAAUAUAUUGAACCGCAUGGUUCAAUAGUGAAAGACGGUUUUGCUGUCAUUUAUAGAUGGAUCCGCGCCGCAUUAGCUAGUUGGUAAGGUAACGGCUUACCAAGGCAACGAUGCGUAGCCGACCUGAGAGGGUGAUCGGCCACACUGGAACUGAGACACGGUCCAGACUCCUACGGGAGGCAGCAGUAGGGAAUCUUCCGCAAUGGGCGAAAGCUUGACGGAGCAACGCCGCGUGAGUGAUGAAGGUCUUCGGAUCGUAAAACUCUGUUAUUAGGGAAGAACAAAUGUGUAAGUAACUAUGCACGUCUUGACGGUACCUAAUCAGAAAGCCACGGCUAACUACGUG
rnacentral:rRNA from 1 species